rnacentral:rRNA from 1 species
UACGUAGGGGGCAAGCGUUGUCCGGAAUCAUUGGGCGUAAAGAGCGCGUAGGCGGCCCAGUAAGUCCGCUCUGAAAGUCAGGGGCUCAACCCCUGGAUGCGGGUGGAUACUGCUGGGCUAGAGUCCGGAAGAGGCGAGUAGAAUUCCUGGUGUAGCGGUGGAAUGCGCAGAUAUCAGGAGGAAUACCCAUAGCGAAGGCAGCUCGCUGGGACGGUACUGACGCUAAGGCGCGAAAGCGUGGGGAGCGAACAGG